rnacentral:rRNA from 1 species
GUCUGAGAGGAUGAUCAGCCACACUGGGACUGAGACACGGCCCAGACUCCUACGGGAGGCAGCAGUGGGGAAUAUUGCACAAUGGGCGCAAGCCUGAUGCAGCCAUGCCGCGUGUAUGAAGAAGGCCUUAGGGUUGUAAAGUACUUUCAGUCGGGAGGAAGGCGUUGAUGCUAAUAUCAUCAACGAUUGACGUUACCGACAGAAGAAGCACCGGCUAACUCCGUGCCAGCAGCCGCGGUAAUACGGAGGGUGCAA